CUAGGACCCCAGACCAUGGGGUGGUGCUGCCUACAGUGAGGGUGGGUCUUCCUACAUCCGUUUACCCAGCCUCUCAGUGCCACAGAGCUAGCAACUUCCCAUGCCAUAUUCUGUUCCUUCCUCCCCUUCCCAACAGGUUCUGUUAUGGUGGCCACUGACUCAGCCAUGCUGAGCUUCCUCCUGCGGGAUAAGUAUGAGGAGACAGGGAAUGGCAGUCUGCACAGCAUGACCUGCACCAUCACUCAGAAUUACAGCCAGGCCUUGCCGGCAGAGCUCCAGCUGAGAGGGCGGCAGCAGACCUACACUGGAGCCCUUGGGGGCCAGGCCAGCAUCCAUGGUGACUUGAUCAGCCUGGCCCUGGAUGGGACCUGCACCUGGGAUCUUGGGCAUCAUCAGUUUUCAGACAACCUGACUCACAACUUGGGCCCAUUGGGUGAUGCAGGACCAGCCUCCAAUUCUGGGUUGCAAGUGCCCAGUGCCCAGGAAUCCUCCAACCGCUCAGCACAGAUGGAAUUGUGGAGUGCAAACUGUCACCUCAAUGCCAGUCUUGACCCCUCAAGCCCCACCAUUCCCAGCCACAGACACAGGGCUGUCCCCUUCUCCAUAUAUGGCCAUGGGCACAUUCAGGUCUCUGUGGACAUUCGUGAUGGUGCCGCCAGCUUUGAGCACUCCACAUAUAUUUCAACAGGCCCUCUAUCCAUCAACUGCUCUGUAAACUACUGGGCCCAUGAGGGCCGUCUGGAGCUAUGGGGCCACAGCCAGCACGACAGUGAGGUCCUGUUGCAGGCCGGGCUCCCGGAUGAGGCCAACCUGCAAGCUGAACUACAGAUACAGGAGACCCAGACUUGGGCCCAUGUGGUCCUCCAUGGCAGGAACAGCAAGGUGAGUGUGGAUGUGACAGCCCUGCUGACUUGGCUGCCAAAUGGCACACUGGAGGCGACAGUGAAUACCAGCCACACGGUGCAUGCUUUCCAGAGACUGGGCCUGCCCUUCAGCAGCCAGGUGAGGGCCCACAGGGCCAGCCCACCACUCUCCAAAUGUGUUACCCCUCAUCCAGUUUCCCCUGUGCAGAGCAGAGGAUUGACAAGCGGUCACCACACUUUGUAGUUUUCAGAGGCUCUUUAAACAAUCAGACAGACAAAUAAGAAACAGUUAAAGCCUGGUCAUGGUGGUGCACGCCUUUAAUCCCAGCACUCGGGAGGCAGAGGUAGGAGGAUCUCAAAUUCAAGGCCAGCCUGGUCUACAGAUCAUGUUCCAGGGCUACAUAGAGAAACCCUGUCUCAGAAAAACAGACAGUUUUAGCCAAGGCCUGUGAAGUAAACUCCUCCGCAGGCCUUGUGUCCUAUGACCAUGUUCUAGCUACUCUCUGCCUGUCCAGUAAUGAAUCAGAGCUGAAGUCCAACUUUGUUUUGCCAAGGAGAUAUGACUCAGUGCUAU
rnacentral:lncRNA from 1 species